AGUGGUCCAUAGGGUGGACCAACAUUGGGAUCCUCACUGUUACAUCUUGGAUCCUGGCUCCUGGAAGGCAGCAGACCUCUCGAGCAAAAGGGUCUGGAUGACAAAUGGCACCUUCUGUUCUCCUUCUUGGUGGGGGCGCCUUCUGUUCCCCUGCUUUCUUGGUGGGGGCGGCUGUUCCUGUCCUAUUUUUGGUGUAGAGGAUGCGGAUGCCUCAUCCGUUGAUGAUGUGAGAGCUGUGAAGUUGUUGUGCAGGGCUAUUGGUGGAGCAGCUGAUGCACAGCAUGGUUUUGGACCUGAUGUGACCAAUUUCCAAGCAGUGUCAGUUGGGACAUAUUAGUCAAGCCCACUCUUCUGCCUGGUUCCCAUGGCAUCCUUCUCCAGUUGAGAGAGCCAGAAUUGGGUCCAAAAUACAAUUAUAGUGUUUUACAAGUAUUUCAGAAAGAAAAUAAAAACACAGAUCUUUUAUAGCAUCCAAUUUUCAAAAAGUUGCCCCUAACCAUUGAUGUGUGUAUGCAGUUAUGCCUGGUAAAACUGCAUAUGCCUCUGUAGAACUCAUUGAAAACCGGACACAUAGAGAUAUAUUUCAUCAUUUUGAAAAUGUAUGGCUUGUUGGCAUCAACUGUUUUAUAUUAUAGUUUUGCACAUUCCUAAUCGGUGCAACAGGCUGACUUUUUUGGUAAUACUUGGUUUGUAUUUGACAUGACCAAGGAACUUAUGGGGUACACAUUUUGUGCAUCUUUCCAGUUUUUUUGCAGACUAGGUUAAAAGUAUGGGAGUUAUAGUUAGGGAUUGAAAAUAAUGUUGGUAAGUCAUUUAAUAUUGUUUUCCACAUGUCAGCAACUGAUUUCAGGUACUUUUUUAAUAUAGAUAAAUCUUAAAGUCUUUUAAGCAUGUAAUAAAGGACGUGCUUAACUUGGCCAUUGAUGAACUUUUCAAUUUGAUGGAAUUUACUGAGCUGUGAUCUCAUUUCACAACAUGUCUGAGGUGCAGAUUAAUGAUCUAAUAAAGGAUCCUGGUUGUACGUUAUUGCUUUAUUUCUACACAAAGAUCUUCUGACUUAUUUUCAUUGGGGGGAAGGUGACAGUCAUCAUGUAGUGAACUCUCUGCUGCCAAUAGUGCUGGUCUCAACCACUUGCUCCCUGCCCCCCUUUCUGUCUCCAUGCAGGCCAGUGAGGUCUGUACCACACCCCACUUCUCAAAAUUUUAGAUCCAUUCCCAUUUUCCAGUUGAUGAGCUCCACUUUAUGGCAGAAGUUUCUGGUAUUAGUUGCUAAUAAUCUAGGUUUUCCUGUAUGAGUUUAUCCAUAAUAGCUUAUGCAGGUUUUCCUGUAUGGUAUCCCAGUCGUCCUUUGUGGUGCAUUUGCCUCCUAACUUUGUGCCAACAAAAUUUGUGCCAGCAAAUUGCAUAAGCUCACACCAAAUUUUGUGCCAAAAGUAAUUUAAUAAAAAUAUUUAUUGCGAUCA